GUUAGGGUGUUACACUCCCAAUCACUUUUCUUCGUUCUUACUCCUUCCUAUUUCCUUUCUUUUCUUGUUUCUUAUUCACUUUCCCUAUUUCUUCUUUUUUUUCUUUUUCUUGGAAGGAGAUUACGAAUUCAAAAUUUUGCUUUCAUUCUUCAUGAUAUUUCUUGUCAAUUCAUAAUGUUCAAUAGAUGACUUUAUUAGGGUUCAGAAAGAAAAUACAUUAGACUUGAAUGGGGUAGCAAGGGAUAUAAUUUUCUCCAAUUGAAGAGGAGAACAAAAAGAUGUCAUUCA
rnacentral:lncRNA from 1 species